rnacentral:rRNA from 1 species
GAUGAACGCUAGCUACAGGCUUAACACAUGCAAGUCGAGGGGAAACGACAUCGAAAGCUUGCUUUGAUGGGCGUCGACCGGCGCACGGGUGAGUAACGCGUAUCCAACCUGCCCACCACUUGGGGAUAACCUUGCGAAAGUAAGACUAAUACCCGAUGAUAUCUCUAUAAGACAUCUGAAAGGGAUUAAAGAUUUAUCGGUGAUGGAUGGGGAUGCGACUGAUUAGCUUGUUGGCGGGGUAACGGCCCACCAAGGCUACGAUCAGUAGGGGUUCUGAGAGGAAGGUCCCCCACAUUGGAACUGAGACACGGUCCAAACUCCUACGGGAGGCAGCAGUGAGGAAUAUUGGUCAAUGGGCGAGAGCCUGAACCAGCCAAGUAGCGUGCGGGACGACGGCCCUAUGGGUUGUAAACCGCUUUUGAUUGGGAACAAAGAGCGCCACGUGUGGUGCGUUGCGUGUACCUUUCGAAUAAGCAUCGGCUAAUUCCGUG